rnacentral:rRNA from 1 species
CUUUAUGAGAGUUUGAUCCUGGCUCAGAAUGAACGCUGGCGGCGCGCCUAAUACAUGCAAGUCGAGCGAGAAGACGUAGCAAUACGUUUGUAAAGCGGCGAACGGGUGAGGAAUACAUGGGUAACCUACCCUAGAGUGGGGAAUAACUAGCCGAAAGGUUAGCUAAUACCGCGUACGCUUCUUGGACUUCGGUUCAGGGAGGAAAGCGCUACCGAGGGUAGCGCGCUCUUGGAUGGGCUCAUGUCCUAUCAGCUAGUUGGUGAGGUAAUGGCUCACCAAGGCUUCGACGGGUAGCUGGUCUGAGAGGACGAUCAGCCACACUGGCACUGCGACACGGGCCAGACUCCUACGGGAGGCAGCAGUAAGGAAUAUUGCGCAAUGGGCGAAAGCCUGACGCAGCGACGCCGCGUGGGGGAUGAAGGUCUUCGGAUUGUAAACCCCUUUCGGGAGGGAAGAUGGAAUGGGGUAACCCAUUCGGACGGUACCUCCAGAAGCAGCCACGGCUAACUUCGUGCCAGCAGCCGCGGUAAUACGAAGGUGGCAAGCGUUAUUCGGAUUUACUGGGCGUACAGGGAGCGUAGGCGGUUUGGUAAGCCCUCUGUGAAAUCUCCAGGCUUAACCUGGAAAAGUCGGAGGGGACUGCUGGGCUAGAGGACGGGAGAGGAGCGCGGAAUUCCCGGUGUAGCGGUGAAAUGCGUAGAGAUCGGGAGGAAGGCCGGUGGCGAAGGCGGCGCUCUGGAACGUUUCUGACGCUGAGGCUCGAAAGCGUGGGGAGCAAACAGGAUUAGAUACCCUGGUAGUCCACGCCUUAAACGAUGUAUGCUUGGUGUUGGGAAGUGAUUCUCAGUGCCGUAGGAAACCUAUUAAGCAUACCACCUGGGGAGUACGAUCGCAAGGUUGAAACUCAAAGGAAUUGACGGGGGCCCGCACAAGCGGUGGAUCAUGUGGUUUAAUUCGAUGCAACGCGAAGAACCUUACCUGGGCUUGAACUGCUGGUAGUAAAGAGAUGAAAGUUGAAUGAACCGUAAAGCCGGUUGCCAGUAGAGGUGCUGCAUGGCUGUCGUCAGCUC